GACGAACGCUGGCGGCGUGCUUAACACAUGCAAGUCGAACGGAAAGGCCCUGCUUGCGGGGUACUCGAGUGGCGAACGGGUGAGUAACACGUGGGUGAUCUGCCCUGCACUUCGGGAUAAGCUUGGGAAACUGGGUCUAAUACCGGAUAGGAGCCAUCUUUAGUGUGGUGGUUGGAAAGUUUUUUCGGUGUAGGAUGAGCUCGCGGCCUAUCAGCUUGUUGGUGGGGUAAUGGCCUACCAAGGCGGCGACGGGUAGCCGGCCUGAGAGGGUGUACGGCCACAUGGGGACUAGGUUACGGCCAAGACUCCUACGGGAGGCAGCGGUGGGGAGUAUUGCACAAUGGCGCAAGCCUGAUGCAGCGACGCCGCGUGGGGGAUGAAGGCCUUCGGGUUGUAAACUCCUUUCGCUAGGGACGAAGCUUUUUUGUGACGGUACCUAGAUAAGAAGCACCGGCUAACUACGUG
rnacentral:rRNA from 1 species